rnacentral:rRNA from 1 species
AGAGUUUGAUCCUGGCUCAGGACUAACGCUGGCGGCGUGCCUAACACAUGCAAGUCGAACGAGGUAGCAAUACCUAGUGGCAGACGGGUGAGUAACACGUAGUCAACCAACCUUCUUGUGGGGGAUAACUAGCCGAAAGGUUAGCUAAUACCGCAUACGAUCGUCGUGAGGCAUCUUAUGACGAGGAAAGGAGCAAUCCG